AUUGAACGCUGGCGGCAGGCCUAACACAUGCAAGUCGAACGGUAACAGGAAGCAGCUUGCUGCUUCGCAGACGAGUGGCGGACGGGUGAGUAAUGUCUGGGAAACUGCCUGAUGGAGGGGGACAACUACUGGAAACGUAGCUAAUACCGCAUAACGUCGCAAGACCAAAGAGGGGGACCUUCGGGCCUCUUGCCAUCGGAUUUGCCCAGAUGGGAUUAGCUAGUAGGUGGGGUAACGGCUCACCUAGGCGACGAUCCCUAGCUGGUCUGCGAGGAUGACCAGCCACACUGGAACUGAGACACGGUCCAGACUCCUACGGGAGGCAGCAGUGGGGAAUAUUGCACAAUGGGCGCAAGCCUGAUGCAGCCAUGCCGCGUGUAUGAAGAAGGCCUUCGGGUUGUAAAGUACUUUCAGCGGGGAGGAAGGCGAUAAGGUUAAUAACCUUGUCGAUUGACGUUACCCGCAGAAGAAGCACCGGCUAACUCCGUGCCAGCAGCCGCCGUAA
rnacentral:rRNA from 1 species